GGUGGUCCGGCUCCUCCCCCCCGGAGUCCGGCCCACUCGACGGCCCCGGUCAUCCCCCCCGACCGGGGCCGUCGCCU
rfam:Knoellia sp. Soil729 contig_2, whole genome shotgun sequence.